UACGAGGGGUGCAAGCGUUAUUCGGAAUUAUUGGGCGUAAAGGGUGCGUAGACGGCGUAUUAAGUCAACUGUUAAAUUCCUCGGCCUAACUGGGGACCAGCGGUAGAUACUGAUAUGCUAGAGGAUGGAAGAGAGAAGUGGAAUUCUCGGAGUAGCGGUAAAAUGCGUAGAUAUCGAGAGGAACACCAAUGGCGAAGGCAGCUUCUUGGUCCAUUUCUGACGUUGAGGCACGAAAGCGUGGGGAGCAAACAGG
rnacentral:rRNA from 1 species